CGAGUCCCCCGCCCCUGAGCUGGGGGUUGACUGGAGAGAGCCGGCGUGCCCCCAGCGCGCUGCCAGCCUUCUACAGUCCGUGCCAGGGGUUGGGCCAAGAGGCCUGUCAGCGAGGCUGUUACAGGGCUGGUGAGGAAACUGAGCCUCAGAAGGGAUUUGCCUAUGGCCAUGGAGCUGGUAAGCUGCAGAGUUGGCAAGGUGGGGACCCAGAUUUGUAUCACAAAAGCAGAAAAAAGUGGCUAGGUUAGAGUUUAAAACACCUUAAAAAAACCCUCAUUGUUCUCUUCUGUAUUCCCAUACUACCUUGUUUAGACCUUUUGAGUGCAGAACCCACCUGACGGGUUUUCAACACGUGGGCAUAAUAGGGGGCAGCUGCUGAAUGAAUGGUGGAGGUAUUUGAUGGCAUGCAAAGCAAGUGUAAAAGAGCCGAUUUUCUAGGCAGUUAGGAGACUUUAAAAGUAAAAAAGAGUUGCUACUUAGCUGUCCCUGGGUUACCUGGAAUUUUGUCUUUCCAUUCAACAUAUUGAGAGAACUUGUAAGUGUGGACGGAGUUGGCAGUUCUACCUUUUCUGGGUAGAAUCUCUGGCUCAUGGGAGUACGUUGUUUCAAUUCCUUUGUCAUAUGUUGGUGUGGAAAUAAUUUUUAGUGUCAUAGGAAAUUGUGGUAGAUUAUUAAUGUUCACCAGUAUCCAUUUCUCCUCUACAUCUGGAUACAUGGAGGCACAACUCCCCUGGCCCCUUGAAGUAAAGCAGUACUCUGUGGGCUGGAGCAUUCAGUUGCUGGUCCUCCACUCUUUAGUUCUCUCUUCUCCAGCUGCAUUGAGACAACACUUCAGAAUGUUGGAGUUUUUGGCUUGGGUCUCAGAGAGAUUACCAUGAAUGUGAUCUCCUAUCAACUGUUAUGUUUAUGUAGAGUGAGUAAGAAAUAAACCCCGAUGGUAUUAAGCCACUCAGAUUUAGGCUGUUUGUUACUGUGGCUUAAUCUAGCCUAUUCUGACCCAUACAUUCA